AUUGAACGCUGGCGGCAUGCCUUACACAUGCAAGUCGAACGGCAGCGCGGGUGCUUGCACCUGGCGGCGAGUGGCGAACGGGUGAGUAAUACAUCGGAACGUGCCCUAGAGUGGGGGAUAACUAGUCGAAAGAUUAGCUAAUACCGCAUACGAUCUACGGAUGAAAGUGGGGGACCGCAAGGCCUCAUGCUCCUGGAGCGGCCGAUGUCUGAUUAGCUAGUUGGUGGGGUAAUAGCCUACCAAGGCGACGAUCAGUAGCUGGUCUGAGAGGACGACCAGCCACACGGGGACUGGGACACGGCGCAGACUCCGACGGGAGGCAGAAGUGGGGAAUUUUGGACAAUGGGGGCAACCCUGAUCCAGCAAUGCCGCGUGUGUGAAGAAGGCCUUCGGGUUGUAAAGCACUUUUGUCAGGAACGAAACGGUGGGGGCUAAUACCUCCUGCUAAUGACGGUACCUGAAGAAUAAGCACCGGCUAACUACGUGCCAGCAGCCGCCGUAA
rnacentral:rRNA from 1 species